rnacentral:tRNA from 1 species
GGAAAGGUGGCAGAGAGGUUGAAUGCAUCAGUUUUGAAAACUGUCGUAGUUUUGCUACCGGGGGUUCGAAUCCCCCCCUUUCCU